rnacentral:rRNA from 1 species
UACGAAGGGGGCUAGCGUUGCUCGGAAUCACUGGGCGUAAAGCGCACGUAAGCGGAUUGUUAAGUCAGGGGUGAAAUCCUGGAGCUCAACUCCAGAACUGCCUUUGAUACUGGCGAUCUUGAGUCCGGGAGAGGUGAGUGGAACUGCGAGUGUAGAGGUGAAAUUCGUAGAUAUUCGCAAGAACACCAGUGGCGAAGGCGGCUCACUGGCCCGGUACUGACGCUGAGGUGCGAAAGCGUGGGGAGCAAACAGG